UACGUAGGGGGCAAGCGUUGUCCGGAAUUAUUGGGCGUAAAGCGCGCGCAGGCGGCUUUGUAAGUUUGGUGUUUAAUCUCAGAGCUCAACUCUGAUUCGCAUCGAAAACUGCAAGGCUUGAGUACAGAAGAGGAAAGUGGAAUUCCACGUGUAGCGGUGAAAUGCGUAGAGAUGUGGAGGAACACCAGUGGCGAAGGCGACUUUUUGGGCUGUAACUGACGCUGAGGCGCGAAAGCGUGGGGAGCAAACAGGG
rnacentral:rRNA from 1 species